rnacentral:rRNA from 1 species
UACGUAGGGUGCAGGCGUAAUCGGAAUUACUGGGCGUAAAGCGUGCGCAGGCGGCUCCUUAAGUCAGAUGUGAAAGCCCCGGGCUUAACCUGGGAACUGCGGUUGAUACGGGUGGGCUGGAGUUCGGUAGGGGAGACUGGAAUUCCGGGUGUAGCGGUGGAAUGCGUAGAUAUCGGGAGGAACAUCAGUGGCGAAGGCGGCCUUCUGGUCCAGUACUGACACUCAAGUGCGAAAGCGUGGGGAGCAAACAGG